ACCUUCAGAAGACCCUGUUGUGCCCGGAAUCCGCCCCCACCAUCCAUGAAGGCUGUGCCGGCUGGCCAAGAGUCCUUCCCACGAGCAUGUCGGCUGCCAGUGGCCCUUACCAGGUUCCCAACCUGCAGCAUCUCCUCGAAGUCAGUGGUCAUGUUGUAGUGCUCCAGCGCCAUGAAGAGGGUGUUCAGCACGAUGCACAUGGUGAUGGUGAGGUCGGCGAAGGGAUCCAUGACCAUGAACCUCACUCUCUGCUUGAUGGACAUCCACAGCGGGCAGCACUCCCAGAUGAGGUAGCGCUCAGCGAAGCGGUUCCAGCAUGGCGGACACUUACGCUCUUGCCGGUGGUAACUCUUGAGUGUGGACAGGAAACGACACGUACCCAGUUCUAUUAACCAGAUGCUGUCAUGAUACAUUAGGACAUGCAAAACCAAUCCGGGAGUCUUAAUUGACCACAAGGUCCCUAGAGUCAAAAGCAUAAAGAAAUAGAAGAAAAGUCUCCCGUGCUCCAAGGUGACGUUAAUGGAAGCAGGAAGCACGCAGCCGGCGGGGACAGCUCUCCCUCUACCAUGAAAAUGUGGAACUGGCUCCAGGGCUCCUCUUCCAGCAAUCUAACUUCAUAAAUAAUUAUACGCGUGCACCAGAAAUACGUACGCAGUGACCAUCAUGCAGCAUUUGUUCCUCAUACCAUAAAAACAAAACUGAUCAAUAGAAUCCUAAGAUCCAUUCUGGAAACAAUCCGACUCUGGACCCAGAUACUGACACCGAGGCCUGUGCGUUCCCACGGGAGCCCCUCCCAAACAGCUUACGGAAAAAACAGGAGAAAGAUCUGGAGGAUACGCCCGGAAUUGUUCAAGGGCAUAUUUCUGGGGAUGGGAUUGUGGGGGGAGGCCAAGGAGAGGGCCGAGUCUCCUUUCGCUUCUGCACUCCUGCGCUGUGGGAUGUGUUUUCGGUGUGCGUGCGUCAUUUUUGUAAGGAAAAGAAGCCGAUCUGGAGAUGGAGACGCGGUGCGCGUGAGGAGGGGGCAGCAGGCACUCAGAGCCCCGCUGAGGACCCCCGACACCUCCACCGUGUGCGCCCACAGUCCACGAGCCCGAGCCGGGGCUGCCCAAGGCACUGGGCUGUUCAGCAUGCCAGGGUGAGGCUCGGCGGUCUCUGCGGGUCAGCAGAGCCAGGGCCUGGGUGGCUACCAAACCCAUCUGUGCUCAAGUUAAAGCCAACCUGUGCGAUGGGUGCGACUGGCCUGGAAUGCUGCCUGGGCAGGGAGGGAGCUCCCAGUCACGGAAGGACUCAGGCAGAGGCUCCUGAGAGGGCUGAGGGGGCCGCGCUCACAGCAGUGGCUCGGGUCCAGCAGAACCCCAAACCUGGCCCCCGUAACUCACAAACCUGUCUCAAAUCCUGCCAGCUUCCUUCUCCUCCUCGACACUCUGUGAGAGUCUGAACUGUCGCUUAGGGAGCAUCUGCUUGCUCUUCUCGCACUGUGGGUGAAGUCCCUUCCCCGUCCCACUGAUGACACACGAUGGAGCAAUAGUGGACACGACAUGAACAGGAGCACCUGGGAUGCCUCUGUCUAGCUCCAGAAAUCUUCUAUGAGAACAGGUUCCCCAGGUAAGCUGCCACCCUCUCAGUCUGAGCCUCGGCCCAGAGACACGGGGGGCAGCUUGGAGCCCGCCCCACAGCGUGCAGCUGAACCUAAGUGCAGACAGAGGCACUGAUGCCCAGCCAAGCCCGACCUGGGUCUGUCAUACCACAGUCAACCGGCAGACAGCCGAGUGUGAGAAUAAAGGCUUAUUGUUAGCCACUGC